rnacentral:rRNA from 1 species
GACGAACGCUGGCGGCGUGCCUAACACAUGCAAGUCGAACGGAAAGGCCCUGAUCUUGUGGGGUGCUUGUUUGGCGAACGGGUGAGUAACACGUGAGUAACAUGCCCUUGAAUGUGGGAGAACUUCAGGAAAAUGGGGCUAAUACCGGAGAGGAGCUCCUGCUGCACGGUGGGCGAUGGAAAGUUUCGGUGGUUGUGGAUGGACUCGCGGCGUACCAGCUUGUUGGUCAGGUAGUGGAGUACCAAGCCUGUGAUGGGUAGCCGACCUGAGAGGCUGGUCGGCCACACUGGAACUUGGACACGGUCCAUGGUCCUACGGUAGGCAGCAGUCGGGAAUCUUCCGCAAUGGGCGAGAGUCUUACGGAGCGACGCGGCGUGUGUGAUGGAGGCGUUCGGAUCGUGAAACUCUGUUACUAGGUGAGAACAUCUUUGUACGUAACCGAGCACAUCUUGACGGUACUUAAUCAGAAAGCCCCGGCUAACUACGUG